rnacentral:rRNA from 1 species
UACGGGGGGGGGCGAGCGUUGUCCGAAGUUACUGGGCGUAAAGCACGUGUAGGCGGGUUGCUAAGUCCGCUGUGAAAGCCCGGUGCUUAACGCCGGAGGGUCGGUGGAUACUGGCAGUCUUGAAGUGGCUAGGGGGAAAUGGAAUUACCGGUGUAGCGGUGAAAUGCGUAGAUAUCGGUAGGAACACCAGUGGCGAAGGCGGUUUCCUGGAGCUAACUUGACGCUGAGACGCGAAAGCUGGGGGAGCAAACGGGG